AUUGAACGCUGGCGGCAGGCCUAACACAUGCAAGUCGAGCGAGCGGCGGACGGGUGAGUAAUGUCUGGGAAACUGCCUGAUGGAGGGGGAUAACUACUGGAAACGGUAGCUAAUACCGCAUACCAUCAGAUGUGCCCAGAUGGGAUUAGCUAGUAGGGGGGGUAACGGCUCACCUAGGCGAAGAUCCCUAGCUGGUCUGAGAGGAUGACCAGCCACACUGGAACUGUGACACGGUCCAGACUCCUACGGGAGGCAGCAGUGGGGAAUAUUGCACAAGGGGCGCAAGCCUGAUUCAGCCAUGCCGCUUGUGGGAAGAAGGCCUUCGUGUUGUAAAGCACUUUCAGCGGGGAGGCGUUACCCGCAGAAGAAGCACCGGCUAACUCCGUGCCAGCAGCCGCGGUAAUAC
rnacentral:rRNA from 1 species